AAUAUGGAAUUGUGACAAAUCCAAACCGGCAUUGAUGUGCUUUAAAUAACAUUCUUUAAAUUAUGCGUGUGGCUGGUAUCUGUUUUAAAUAAUAAACCGUAUAAUUAACAGAGCCAUCCUCUAAGACUCGGUACCAUAAUGAGAUCGUUUACAUUUGAUUAUCCCACCCAUCUUCAACUUAGGAGUAUGGUGGAAACCUUCGCAAAUAAAGCAUCUACACAGCCCCACAGCGGUGAUAGCUAUAUGGAAAUCGCGAAUCAACUUGUGUGGUUUCCUUUUGUUUCUUUAAAUACGACUGAUAUGUCAUCAACAGUUGUUUCUAGUGAAUGUAAUUUCCAAGACAAACUAAAGAGUUGCAUCUGAUGUGGAGUAGUCCUUGUAAGCUGUGAAGGCGGAGGGAGUUUUGGCUAGUGGAGUUUCAAAAGCAGACUUAAGACUCAGAUAAUCGAAAAAGUCCAAGAUUCAUAGGAAUGCUUUAACAGGGCUACCAGAACUUAAAACAAAGCUACAUCAUGGGAAAAAAUGAAUGAAAACCGCUUAAAGCUUUGUACGAUAGCAGCAACAAGAGCUAGGUAAUGGACAUAUGAAGACAAGGUAUUUGCUCUGUCCUUAUACAAGCAAAACCCUUGCCCAUACAGAUGCAGUUCCCUCCGUGUCUAAGUAUCUACAUUACCUGGGAGAGAACAUCCUGUAGACGUAGAUUGUAGGGAAUGCCUGAGUAGGCAUACUCUGUUUAAAACAGCGAUAACUUGAAGCGUAAGACUGGCGCACUGAACUGCUGCAGAAACAAAGCGAUGUAUAGAUGUCAGAUGAUAAUCUUGUGUUCAUCAUCAAAAUGAAAGUUGUAACACACUCAGGAAAUGAGCACAGGAGAGCAGAUGUAGGAAUCAAGUGUCACUGCACUCGGUGAGGUUGUAAUGGAGUUGGUUUGCGGUAGGAUGAAACCCAGUGCUGGUCCAUGGGCCUACUGUUCUCAAAAAGUACGUUGCGGCUGCUGAGCUCAACUCUAAAUCUGAAGAACAUAAAGUGUCACAUGCCUUCACAUCAAGAGACAGUGUAAGAAGGUACAAAUGUAAUCCAGGACAUUAGCGCAAAAUGUGAUCACGAACGUUACCCCAUCACCUCUCAUCCCUUUGUCACCCAAAUACUGGCAUUGAAAAUUUUCCACCACCAGGAUGACUUGCAUCCAAGUUGAGAGCCACCACACAGAACUUUGUUAGCAACCUUGGUUAUGAAGAUGGGGCCAUCUCACCACAAUCGUAGAAAUUUCAAAGCAAUAGGCCUACUGCUGUGUUAACAUUGCCAAGUUCUGUAAACAUUCUCCUGUUUGUUUUUACCCCAAAUGUCAUAUAAGAGUGGGAUCCAACACACUCUCUACAUCAUUUGUCCACUAAAUUCAAAUGGUCGGUGGAGGAAAGAUGUUUGUUUAUGUUCAUCCAUAAAUAAACAUUUAUUUGCACUCAAUGUCAUCAAGAUUAAAGCUGAUAACUGAAGAUCUAGCUGAAGCCUCUUCAGGCUUCUUAUACUUAAAUGCCAAUACACAUAUUCCCUAACGGUAUUUGUGGACAACAGAAACUUUAAUGAACUCGGCAAUUCACAAACACAGUACUACAGGUAGAAAUAAUUUACUUCUCCUGGUUUAAAAGGGAGUUUUAUAUUCUGGUGCAAAAGAUUGUAACAGGUGGACUGUAGAAAAGAAACUAAACAUUCCCACCUAUCCAUAUAAACGGCAAGUUGACAUAUCCUGAGCAUGUGAAUUUGUUGAAAACAAGUGACCAGUCAGUGUGUAAAAAAGAGUCGAGCUAAGACACUAAAAGUAAGUUGUCAGUCAGUGUGUGAAAAUAAUCAAGCUGUAUACGGAAAAAAAAGAGGAAGUAUCCAGUCUAUGUGUGAAAGCAAACAAGCUACUGCAUGUUUGUUUUGCUUCACAAUUGCUAAAUAUGUAUGGGAAUUGGACAUACAUCCUAAUCUCCUUCUCCCCUCCUGUCGCCUACCAUCUCCUUUCCCCUCUCUCUGUCCAUCUCCUCCUCUGUCCUCUCUAUAUCCAUUUCUUCCCUCCCUGCCAAUGGCCAUCUCUUCUCUCCCCCUUCUCUCUCUGAGCUUGAGCCUUGCUUGUUAUUACAAUUUUAGUUUCCAUAGUAGUAUUCUAAUCAUAAACCAUAAAUACAAUGUUCCUGUUUCCUGUGAAAACAGACUGCAAGGAAUAAAACAAAACAGUAUAGUUUUGUGUUUACAGUUUGCAUUUAAAAUAUAUAUAAUGAGGUAGAACAUAUAUGGAAGAAAUAAUUUGUCUAGCAGUUUAAGUGCCCAGCUAUCAUAAUUGAAACUGAUUGUGAGAAAGAAAACAAAACUAUACAUUUUCACAGCAGAGCAUGGCAAACAUUUUCUUUGGCACAGUCAGUUUUAACAGAAAACUGGUAGUUGGUCUUUAAAAGAAUAUAUGGCCUGUGUCUCUCUGAAUGUUUAUAAAGGUAUCAUGUAAAAAUUUG